UUUACAAUCAAUUCUCAUUGAGAAUUAUAAGUAAAUUAUUCUGGCGUGGUACUAUAACUUGAAUAAUAAGUGUUUAUCAUAUGUUUGAUUCUAGUUGAAUCUAAUGCUUAAAUCUAAAGGGUAAUGUCUUUUUAGCCUGCGGAUCUGAUCCGUCAUGUUAAGUAAUUGAAUAACUAGUGAGUUUUGGUGGUUGUUAAUUCUUAUGUUAUAUUUAUUACUGAAUUUGGAUAAUUCUUCUUUAACUGUGGGUAUCUUAAGGUCGCGAUGUAUUGUUUCAUUGGUAACAUACCAAGGUGCAUUUAUUAGGGAUCUUAGAGUUUUUGAUUGGAAUCG
rnacentral:misc_RNA from 1 species